GAUGAACGCUGGCGGCGUGCCUAAUACAUGCAAGUCGAGCGAACGGACGAGAAGCUUGCUUCUCUGAUGUUAGCGGCGGACGGGUGAGUAACACGUGGAUAACCUACCUAUAAGACUGGGAUAACUUCGGGAAACCGGAGCUAAUACCGGAUGAUAUUUUGAACCGCAUGGUUCAAAAGUGAAAGACGGUCUUGCUGUCACUUAUAGAUGGAUCCGCGCUGCAUUAGCUAGUUGGAAGGUAACGGCUUACCAAGGCAACGAUGCAUAGCCGACCUGAGAGGGUGAUCGGCCACACUGGAACUGAGACACGGUCCAGACUCCUACGGGAGGCAGCAGUAGGGAAUCUUCCGCAAUGGGCGAAAGCCUGACGGAGCAACGCCGCGUGAGUGAUGAAGGUCUUCGGAUCGUAAAACUCUGUUAUUAGGUAAGAACAUAUGUGUAAGUAACUGUGCACAUCUUGACGGUACCUAAUCAGAAAGCCACGGCUAACUACGUG
rnacentral:rRNA from 1 species